GACAUACUAUGCUGAAUAUACCGGUUCUCGUUAGAUCACCGAAGUCAAGCAUCAUUGGGCGCGGUCAGUACUUGAGUGAGUUGAGUGACCACCUGGGAACACCGCGUGCCGUU
rnacentral:rRNA from 1 species